rnacentral:rRNA from 1 species
AUUGAACGCUGGCGGCAGGCCUAACACAUGCAAGUCGAACGAGUGGCGGACGGGUGAGUAAUGUCUGGGAAACUGCCUGAUGGAGGGGUCUAACUACUGGAAACGGUAGCUAAUACCGCAUACCAUCGGAUGUGCCCAGGUGGGAUUAGCUAGUAGGUGGGGUAACGGCUCACCUAGGCGACGAUCCCUAGCUGGUCUGAGAGGAUGACCAGCCACACUGGAACUGAGACACGGUCCAGACUCCUACGGGAGGCAGCAGUGGGGAAUAUUGCACAAUGGGCGAAAGCCUGAUGCAGCCAUGCCGCGUGUAUGAAGAAGGCUUUCGGGUUGUAAAGUACUGUCGGCGGGGAGGCGUUACCCGCAGAAGAAGCACCGGCUAACUCCGUGCCAGCAGCCGCGGUAAUAC